rnacentral:misc_RNA from 1 species
CACAAUAAGCAUAUGAAGGCUGCACCGCCAACAGGCGGCAAGGCUGGAGUAUUUUAUUACCCUUGUCUUUUGCGCACUUGUUGUUUCCUGGGCGGGUUCGCCCGCCUCCAGGACCACAUGAUAAACCUUUUUUAUGCAGUUGCAAUCAGCGUCAGUACAACAAAUGUAAAUCAUUUA